UCGAGUUCACUCACGUGUUCGCUGGUUUUGUUGCUGUGAUGUUUGCAGGGGACAAAACCACAUUAACGCUCACAAAGAAAUUCAAUUCACAUUUAAUUAUAAACGGAGGAAUCUUUUGUUCCCCGUCUGAGUCCUCGCGGGUGAAUCUCGCCGCUCGGAGACUCCCUCUGGGCGACGCAGGGUAACGACACCGUGACAUCAUCAAGGGUCACGCUGCGGCACCAAUGAAAGAAAACUGCAUACAUGACACGCAACGGUGGACGAAAUCCAUUUCCUCGCCCGCAAAGCGGGACCGUGACUCCAAGUUUCAAAGAAGAAAAUUAGACUCUGUGACUUGCUUAUGACGGAGCACUGAGGAAAAAGAUGGAGCUGAAUUGGUGUAUAAUUGUUCACAGCUGCUCGCUGUGCCCACCUGACAAAAGAUAAUUCAGUAUCGUGUAUUAGAUAUUUUCUAAAUCCUCUGAGAUCCAGGCUCAGUUCUUUUUGAUUUCAUUGAACAGGCUCUUGUUUAACAUUGGAUCAGGAGAAACUAGAAAUAGGUUCCUGCUCCCGUCCACACACGUACAUCGUCCGAGGCCAAUUCUGAAAUACAACACACACGUAAUGAGUUCGAAUAAAAAGACGCAGCAUCAAGAUCAACAGCAAAACAGCAAAUUUGAUGAUUUAACACGUUUUCUAGGAACAGGAUAAAUAUUUGAAUCAUUUAACAUAAUGAAUAUUGAUGCCUGUGUCGACGCAUGUGAUUAUUUUGUGAGCUGAAGAAUAUCUGAAUUCACAUGCACAGUAUCCAGCACAUGUCAGUGGGUGUGAUAAAUAAAAUAAAGGUUUUAUUGUUGAAAUUCUCCUCAUGUCCCGACAGCAUCGAUACAUAGAAAUAGAAAAGUAGUAAUAG